rnacentral:misc_RNA from 2 species
AACGCACCUUGCGCUCCUUGGUAUUCCUUGGAGCAUGCCUGUUUGAGUAUCAUGAAAUUCUCAAAGUAAACCUUUUGUUAAUUCAACUGGUCUUUGCUUUGGAUUUGGAGGCCUUUGCAGAUGUCACAGUCUGCUCCUCUUAAAUAAAUUAGCUGGAUCUCAGUAUACACUUGGUUCCACUCGGCGUGAUAAGUAUCACUCGCUGAGGACACUGUUAAAAAGGUGGCCAGGCAAUGCAGAUGAACCGCUUCUAAUAGUCCAUUGACUUGGACAAAUUAAAAAUUUAUGAUCUGAUCUCAAAUCAGGUAGGACUACCCGCUGAACUUAA